GACGGGGUUUCACUAUGUUGGACAGGCUGGUCUUGAACUCCUGACCUUGUGAUCCACCCGCCUCGGCCUCCCAAAGUGCUGAGAUUACAGGCGUUGAGCCACCGCACCUGGCCCUUCCUAUAUAAUUUAUUUAUUUUUUUUAUAUGGUAGACUGCUUUUCUUUUUCUUCAUAUUUUGUGUAUCUAUUACAGUUUUUUACUUUGGAGUUAUCAUGAGACUUACACGAAAGAUCAUAGUUAUAAGUCUAUUUUAAGCUCGAACAAUUUAACUUUUUCUGCAUACAAAAGUAUACACUUUAACUUCUCCUACAUCUUAUGCUAUUGGUGUCACAAUUUACAACUUUUAUAUAUUGUGUUUCCAUGAACAAAUUAUUAUAAUUACUUUUCUUUUAAUUUUACACUAGAGUUAAAAGUGACUUAUGCAUCACUGUUAUAGAAUUAGAGUAUUCUGAAUUUAACUAUGUUCUUACUUUUACACUGAGUUUUAUACUUUCCUGUGUUUUCAUAUUGUUUUUUAGGGCCCUUUCAACCUGAAGAACACCCUUUAGCAUUUCAUGUAAGGCAGGUCUAUGGGUAAGAAUACCUUUUGUUAUGUCUGGGAAACUCCCUAUUUGUCCUUCAUUUCUGAAGGACAGCCUUGCCAGGUAUAGUAGUCCUCAUUGGCAGUUUAUUUCUUUCAGCACCUUGCAGGCCAUUCUCUCUUGGCCUGCGAGGUCUCUGCUGAGAAAUCUGUUAAUAGCCUUAUAGAAGUUGCUCUUCUCUUGCAGCUUUUGCAUUUCUUUGUCUUUGACUUUAGAAAAUUUAAUUUCAGUGUGUCUUGGUGAAGAUCUCUUUGUAUUUAAUCUAUUUAGGAUUUUUUGGCUUUCAUGGGUCUGGAUGUUUAGUUCCCUCUUCAGAUUUGGAAAGCUUUCUGUCAUUAUGUUUUUCUGCCCCUUUCCCUUUCUCUGCCCCUUCUGGAGCUUCCAUAGUGCAUUAAUUAGUUCACUUGAUGGUGACCCUUAAGUCUUACAGAUAUUCUUUACUCUUUUUUAUUCUUUUUCUUUUCUUUUUUCUCCUCUUACUGGGCAAUUUUAAAUGACCUAUUUUUAGGUUAACGGAUACUUUCUUCUGCUUGAUUUUGUUGUUGGAGCUCUCUGUGGAAUUUUUCAGUUCAGUCAUUGUGUUUUUUAGCUUCGGAAUUUUCCUAGUUCUUUUUAUGGUUUCUAUCUCUUUGUCAAAUUUCUAAUUUUGUCUGUUUACUGUUUUCCUAAUAUUAUUUAGCUGCCUAUUUGAGCUCUCUUGUAGGUCACUGAGCUUUUCUUUUCUUCUUUUUUUCUUUUUUUUCUGAGAAUCUCACUCUGUUGCCCAGGCUGGAGUGCAGUGGUGCAAUCUCAGCUCACUGCAACCUCUGCCUUCCAGGUUCAAGUGAUUCUCCUGCCUCAGCCUCCCAGGUAGCUGGGACUACAGGCAUGUGCCACCAUGCCUGGCUAAUUUUUUGUUGUUGUUGUUUGUAUUUUUAGUAGAAACAGGGUUUCACUGUGUUAGCCAGGCUGGUGUUGAUCUCCUGACCUUGUGAUACACCUGCCUCGGCCUCCCAAAGUGCUGGGAUUACAGAUGUGAGCCACCACGCCCGGCAGUCACUGAGCUUUUCUAAGAAUUAUUUCAAAUUCUUUUUCAGGAUAUUCAUAGAUCUUCAUUUCUUUAGGGUUGUUUACUGGUGUUUGGUCCUUUGGUAGUAUCAUGUUUCCCUGAUUAUUCCUCUUCCUUGCAUUAUUGAAAUGCGGGCACUCAUUCCAGUCUUUAUAGACUGGAUUCAGCAGGGAAUGCUGCUCACAUCACCCUAUCAAGACUUUGGGUAGGUCAUCUGUGGGCUUUAUGGGUGGCCUUGCUGCUGGUGCCCUCAGAUAGACAGGGCUGGUGACCAGAUAGGUAGGUGGGUGUGCUAG
rnacentral:lncRNA from 1 species